AUAUUAUCUCAGGCUAUCUGGGAGGAGUUGUUCUUUGUCAAAGAAUGAGUCAGAGAGAUAUUUAUUCUUUUGCUCACUGCUCGGUGACUUUGCAUGUCAUGUGUUUGCUCAUAAGUAAGUAGACAGUUGGUGGACUGAGUCACAGAACACAGGAGACAACAGGAUCUCCAGCAACUGUGGCAUGAGCUGGAUUUGGCAUCAGUGAGAUGAGGAACAAGCAGGCUCUAUUGCAAACACCACACAGAGAGGAGAAGUCUCACUGAAGACAAGGAUGACAGGAUUGAACUGGAUUUCAAACAGCUUAUGUCAGGUCUAAAAAUGGCUGUCAAGGCUGCCACUCCAUGAAGUCUAUGCCAGGAACCCUCACGGUGCUCCCAUUCUUGGGCUGGGGGCUGGCCAUACAGUGUCGUGUGUUCACCUUGCGAAAAUGUGUCACGAAGUUUGUGAUUUGACUUGAUUACAUUUCUGCAUAUGUUAUAUAUGAAAGUGUAUCUUAAAAAAUACAAGGUGACCAGGCACGGUGGCUCAUGCCUAUAAUCCCAACACUUUGGGAGCUGAAGGUGAGAGGAUUGCUUGAGCAUAGGAGUUCAAGACCAGCCUGGGCAACAUAAUGAGAACCCUAUCUCUACAAAAGAAAAAAAUCAGCUGGAUGUGGUGGCAUGUAGCUGUAGUCUCAGCUACUCAGGAGGCAGGAGGAUUGCUUGAGCCCAGUUCAAGACUGCAGUGAACUAUGAUCAUGCCACUGCACUUCAGCCUGGAUGACAGAGCAAGACCCUGUCUUAAAAAUAAAUAAAUAAAUGGCAUUGCCCACUUUAUGGGGAGUGGAUUGGAGCUUCCUGAUGGAAGAAAGGUUAAAAAGCACACAAGAGGAUUUCAAGAGGAAGCGAGCUGGGCUUGAAAAGUCACCAGGUGCAGUGGCUCACACCUGUAAUCCCAGCACCUGGGAGGCCAAGGUGGCUGGAUUGCUUGAGCUCAGGAGUUUGUCACCAGCCUGGGCAACAUGGUGAAACUCUCAUCUUGACAAAAAAUAUAAAAAAUUGCCAGGCAUAGUGAUUAGUGCCUGUAGUCCCAGCUACUUGGGAGGCUGAGGUGGGAGGAUAGCUUAAGUCCAGGAGGUUGAGGCUGCAGUGAGCUAUGAUUGUACCACUGCACUACAGCCUGGGCCACAAAGCAAGGCCCUGUCUGGAAAAAAAAAGUAGAAAAAGAAAGAGAGAAGAGAGAGAGAGAGAAAGAAAGAGAUAAGAAAGAAAGAAAACCACCAGGACCAACAAGCUCUGGUGUGAGAACAGAGCUGCACCUGCCUCAUAGGCAAGUCUUUAUUUUUAACUCCCAAUCCCCUUCCUUGAUGAGCUGAGACAUGAGGCCCAGCAAAGAGAAAAAUGAAAAAGAAUGCAAACACAUCUGUCUCACCCACCUCAGCCCUCAAAUCCUAAAGCAGCUAGCAGGAGAGAGGAGAAGAUGUCAACCUUCAUGAAGUUUGACAUUUUGAUUAUUACGCUGAGAUUUUAAUUACUGAACAGAGAUGGUUCCUAUGAUUGAAAGUAACUGGUGGUCUACUACUUGAAAGCGAACAUGAAUGUGAACAGGAAAUCCCCCUAUUCCCUACCCCAAACUUAGAUUUUUCUUCAAGAGCCAUAAAGAAUCCACACAGCAGGUUGCAAAGAUUGUUUUCUGCUUGUACCAUGGAUCAGUUCACUAUUACAGCAUAACAAACUAAUCCUUCAUGGCUUAAAACAA